rnacentral:lncRNA from 1 species
CCCCUGCAGAAAUAGAUAAACACCAUAACUCGUGGAAUUCUGUCAGAUAAAACCCUAAGUCUGGGUGUUAGUUGAAUUUGGAUCAUUUUCUUUAUUUAUUUGAUGAUUAUAUUUGGUACUUAAGUACCGUCAACAUCCUACUCUGGGGUAGUCACAAUCAUGCCAUUCCAUUAGAUCCACCCAGAAAUGUUCUACUCCUACUCUAGGAGUGAAC